rnacentral:tRNA from 1 species
UCCUCCAUGGCGCAAUUGGCUAGCGCGUCUGACUGUUAUUCACAACCGUUCUUCGGCUCGAGCAAGCAAUCAGGAGGUUCCUGGUUCGAGCCCAGGUGGGGGAG